rnacentral:rRNA from 1 species
AUGAACGCUGGCGGCGUGCCUAAUACAUGCAAGUCGAGCGGACGGACGAGAAGCUUGCUUCUCUGAUGUUAGCGGCGGACGGGUGAGUAACACGUGGAUAACCUACCUAUAAGACUGGGAUAACUUCGGGAAACCGGAGCUAAUACCGGAUAAUAUUUUGAACCGCAUGGUUCAAAAGUGAAAGACGGUCUUGCUGUCACUUAUAGAUGGAUCCGCGCUGCAUUAGCUAGUUGGUAAGGUAACGGCUUACCAAGGCAACGAUGCAUAGCCGACCUGAGAGGGUGAUCGGCCACACUGGAACUGAGACACGGUCCAGACUCCUACGGGAGGCAGCAGUAGGGAAUCUUCCGCAAUGGGCGAAAGCCUGACGGAGCAACGCCGCGUGAGUGAUGAAGGUCUUCGGAUCGUAAAACUCUGUUAUUAGGGAAGAACAGAUGUGUAAGUAACUGUGCACAUCUUGACGGUACCUAAUCAGAAAGCCACGGCUAACUACGU